UACGGGGGGGGCAAGCGUUGUUCGGAAUUACUGGGCGUAAAGGGCUCGUAGGUGGCCAACUAAGUCAGACGUGAAAUCCCUCGGCUUAACCUGGGAACUGCGUCUGAUACUGGGAGGCUUGAGUAUGGGAGAGGGAUGUAGAAUUCCAGGUGUAGCGGUGAAAUGCGUAGAUAUCUGGAGGAACACCGGUGGCGAAGGCGGCAUCCUGGACCGACACUGACGCUGAGGAGCGAAAGCCAGGGGAGCAAACGGG
rnacentral:rRNA from 1 species